ACAUGACCAUAUGAUAUGAAAGAACAGAGC
rnacentral:piRNA from 1 species